AAAUUGAAGAGUUUGAUCAUGGCUCAGAUUGAACGCUGGCGGCAGGCCUAACACAUGCAAGUCGAACGGUAACAGGAAUCAGCUUGCUGAUUCGCUGACGAGUGGCGGACGGGUGAGUAAUGUCUGGGAAACUGCCUGAUGGAGGGGGAUAACUACUGGAAACGGUAGCUAAUACCGCAUAACGUCGCAAGACCAAAGAGGGGGACCUUCGGGCCUCUUGCCAUCGGAUGUGCCC
rnacentral:rRNA from 1 species